GUCCGUGCCGUAAACGAUGAACACUAGUUGUCGCGGGUAUUGACCCCUGCGGUGACGCAGAUAACUCAUUAAGUGUUCCGCCUGGGAAGUACGGUCGCAAGACUAAAACUCAAAGAAAUUGACGGGGGCCCCGCACAAGCGGUGGAGUAUGUGGUUUAAUUCGACGCAACGCGAAGAACCUUACCCAGGCUUGACAUCCUAGGAAGUCUGUAGAGAUAUGGAUGUGUCCUUAAACAAGAAGCCUAGAGACAGGUGCUGCAUGGCUGUCGU
rnacentral:rRNA from 1 species